CUGCCCUAGACCUGUGAGGCUGUAGUGACUGUGCUUGUUUCAAUCACCCAAGAAUUGCCCAAGGCACCAGAUCAAGUGGUGCUGAUGCCUUUGCCUGCUGCAGAGCUUUCACAAAGCCCAGCUGCAGGGCCAUCCAGGUUAGCAAUAAAAAUAAUGUCAAACAAUGAAGUAAAGCUGAGUCUGUUCUGCAAGGACUAGAACAUCCCACCAGAGACAGCUGAGCCACAGAGAAAAAGCUUACUGUCUUUAUUCACUGAAUGGUGAAUAAAUGGGUGCUCUUGCUGGCUGUCAUUUGUUUCUGUUCUCAUCUUCAUUUUCAA
rnacentral:lncRNA from 12 species